UACGUAGGGUGCGAGCGUUGUCCGGAAUUAUUGGGCGUAAAGGGCUCGUAGGCGGUUUGUCGCGUCGGGAGUGAAAACUCAGGGCUUAACCCUGAGCCUGCUUCCGAUACGGGCAGACUAGAGGUAUGCAGGGGAGAAUGGAAUUCCUGGUGUAGCGGUGAAAUGCGCAGAUAUCAGGAGGAACACCGAUGGCGAAGGCAGGUCACUGGGCCGCAGCUGACGCUGAGGAGCGAAAGCAUGGGGAGCGAACAGG
rnacentral:rRNA from 1 species